rnacentral:lncRNA from 10 species
GGGAGCCCGUGGGGAGCCGAGCCGAGCGCCCCCCGCCCCAGCCCCCGGCAUGGGCAGUACGGGGCCGCCGGGGCGGGCGCCGAGCGCUGAGCGCUGAGGGUCUCCCAUGGGAUUGCUGGGAUCUUGCUGGGUGAGAUGGCAGUGUGUGCAAAAAAGCGCCCCCCAGAAGAAGAAAGGAGGGCGCGGGCUAAUGACCGAGAAUACAAUGAGAAAUUCCAGUAUGCGGUAAGCGACUCUAGACCACCUGUUCCCUCUCUCUGUUUGGAGAGGGGAAUGGGGCAAGGACAACCUACCGUUGGGACUGAGGGCUGCCUGGGAAGAGUGCUUGGGGGAGGGGAAGCAACCUCCUCAGCCACUCUCCAUCUGCUAUCGUGCUGAAUUUUUCAUGCCUUCACCUGUCAGUGAAGCAGAAUACAUUGACCCCCUUGAGACUCCCUUCUCUCCUCCUCUUUCCCCCUCCCACACCUGUGUUU